rnacentral:rRNA from 1 species
AACGAACGCUGGCGGCAGGCUUAACACAUGCAAGUCGAACGCAUCCUUCGGGGUGAGUGGCAGACGGGUGAGUAACGCGUGGGAACGUGCCCUUCAGUUCGGGAUAACCCAGGGAAACUUGGGCUAAUACCGGAUACGUGCGAGAGCAGAAAGAUUUAUCGCUGAAGGAUCGGCCCGCGUCUGAUUAGCUAGUUGGUGGGGUAAUGGCCCACCAAGGCGACGAUCAGUAGCUGGUCUGAGAGGAUGAUCAGCCACAUUGGGACUGAGACACGGCCCAAACUCCUCCGGGAGGCAGCAGUGGGGAAUAUUGGACAAUGGGCGCAAGCCUGAUCCAGCCAUGCCGCGUGAGUGAUGAAGGCCUUAGGGUUGUAAAGCUCUUUCGUCCGGGACGAUAAUGACGGUACCGGAAGAAGAAGCCCCGGCUAACUCCGUGCCAGCAGCCGCCGUAA